rnacentral:rRNA from 1 species
CACUUCGGUGUGAGUAAAGCGGCGGACGGGUGAGUAACGCGUAGGAAUCUACCUAGUAGUGGGGGACAACUCGGGGAAACUCGAGCUAAUACCGCAUACGCCCUACGGGGGAAAGCGGGGGACCUUCGGGCCUCGCGCUAUUAGAUGAGCCUGCGUUGGAUUAGCUAGUUGGUGGGGUAAUGGCCUACCAAGGCGACGAUCCAUAGCUGGUCUGAGAGGAUGAUCAGCCACACCGGGACUGAGACACGGCCCGGACUCCUACGGGAGGCAGCAGUGGGGAAUAUUGCGCAAUGGGCGAAAGCCUGACGCAGCCAUGCCGCGUGUGUGAAGAAGGCCUUCGGGUUGUAAAGCACUUUCAAUUGGGAGGAAAGGUUCACGACUAAUACUCGUGAGCUGUGACGUUACCUUUAGAAGAAGCACCGGCUAACUCCGUGCCAGCAGCCGCGGUAAUACGGAGGGUGCAAGCGUUAAUCGGAAUUACUGGGCGUAAAGCGCGCGUAGGUGGUCUGUUAAGUCGGAUGUGAAAGCCCCGGGCUCAACCUGGGAACUGCAUCCGAUACUGGCAGACUAGAGUGCGGGAGAGGGAGGUAGAAUUCCACGUGUAGCGGUGAAAUGCGUAGAUAUGUGGAGGAAUACCAGUGGCGAAGGCG